GAAAAACCUAUCUGGAUGGAUCAACCAAAAAGAAGUUUGGAGUAGGCGCAUUUCGGUCCUCUCACCAUGGCGCAUAUUGCAAUCUCGACGCUUAUGCCACCGACAGUGAAACUUAAGCUCGUUGUGACAAAUUCUAUUCCUCCGAAACGAGGAUUUGGCCAGAGUGCUCCACAGAAGAAAGAGGCAGCUACGAAAAAGCAGCAGGAGCUCAAGAGUGUGGUGAAAGAAGUGGAGAAGGAAGUGAAGCACCGGAAGAGAAGGCUGCACAUUGAUCCCGAGGUCGCAGCGAAAGGAAAGGUGGAUUUUGUGCAAGUAGAGUCGUGGGACGGAGGAGAGAAUCCAGAGGACCUUGAGAAGCUCAAGCUCAAGAGUUUUAGUCCAUCGGCCAGCUCUUUUGGGAAUGACUUGCCAUUCUACGAGCAACUUGUGAAGCGAAUUCAGCUCUUGGAAAGCAAGGGAGACAUUGCGGUUGUGCAGCCGCGAAAGCUUCCUCCAUUCGAGAAAUGGAAGUUUGGAGAGAAGAAAUAUGUGCAAUACCUUGUCGACCAGCGCGCAGUGUACCGCGCAUUAGGCAGUGCCAUCGAAAUCUGUGCUGCUAUCGAAGACAGCGUUGCCAUUUUCAACGACAAACUAGGCUUGAAUCGUUCCUCGGCCAUUGAAGCGGAUCUAACAGCGAUGCAAAAAGAGAGCUCGUUGUCCACUCUGCCAGAACCAAACACUCAAACGCUUGCCUAUGUGAAGUACAUUGAGCAAUUAGCAAAUCCAUCGCCGGGCCAAAGCGAAGAAAAGUCGAGAGAGAAACGUCUCAGACUCCUGGCACACAUUUUUGGCGUAAACGUCUCACAUCUAUCAACAGGAAUGCGAAUUGGUGCCAAGGCUGUAGAGUGUCUUCCAGUUUUGUCCGAGCGCAAGGCAUUCUCGUUUUACCACGUCUAUCCAGAGGGCGUGAAAGAUCCGAUCAAAGUUCUCAUUGCUGCCUUCAACCAAGUUGGCCACCUCAUCACUGCUGAAGACGAUCGCGAGGAGGUGAUGCAAGAGCUUCCCAGAGCGAUACAAAAGGCCAGCCUGCUACUCUCCAGCCUUGCUGUUGUCGAGUAGAAGGAAAAAAAAAAAAAAAGAGAAAAGAGGAGUUAGCCAAGAAGAUCUUCAGGCUUUUGUGAGUGCCUGUAACGUUUCGUCCUCCACCAAAAGUGGUGGCUUUUGUCUGGUUUGUUUCUUUGCAAGCUGUGGCGAUGGUAGAUCCAACUCGUAACAUGGUUCCAAGAUCGACUGAGAAUCGACUGGAGAAGAAAUGUCGACUGGAGCGGUCUCUCGGGCUCUCUGUUGCUUGGACAUUCUCAUGGCUUUACGAACGACAUCCUUGUCCGCA